AGGGUUCGAUUAUGGCUCAGAACGUACGCUGGCGGCACGCCUAACACAUGCAAGUCGAACGAAGUAGCAAUACUUAGUGGCAGACGGGUGAGUAACAUGUAGGUAUCUGCCCUUUGGCCUGGAAUAACACGAGGAAACUUGUGCUAAUACCGGAUAAGUCUUUACGGAGAAAGCUUUAUGCACCAUUGGAUGAGCCUGCACUUGAUUAGUUUGUUGGUGGGGUAAUGGCCUACCAAGACUGUGAUCAAUAGCUGAUUUGAGAGGAUGAUCAGCCACAUUGGGACUGAGACACGGCCCAAACUCCUACGGGAGGCAGCAGUGGGGAAUCUUGCACAAUGGAGGAAACUCUGAUGCAGCGAUGCCGCGUGAGUGAAGAAGGCCCUUGGGUUGUAAAGCUCUUUCGUCGGGGAAGAAAAUGACUGUACCCGAAUAAGAAGGUCCGGCUAACUUCGUGCCAGCAGCCGCGGUAAUACGAAGGGACCUAGCGUAGUUCGGAAUUACUGGGCUUAAAGAGUUCGUAGGUGGUUGAAAAAGUUAGUGGUGAAAUCCCAGAGCUUAACUCUGGAACUGCCAUUAAAACUUUUCAGCUAGAGUAUGAUAGAGGAAAGCAGAAUUUCUAGUGUAGAGGUGAAAUUCGUAGAUAUUAGAAAGAAUACCAAUUGCGAAGGCAGCUUUCUGGAUCAUUACUGACACUGAGGAACGAAAGCAUGGGUAGCGAAGAGGAUUAGAUACCCUCGUAGUCCAUGCCGUAAACGAUGUGUGUUAGACGUUGGAAAUUUAUUUUCAGUGUCGCAGGGAAACCGAUAAACACACCGCCUGGGGAGUACGACCGCAAGGUUAAAACUCAAAUGAAUUGACGGGGACCCGCACAAGUAGUGGAGCAUGUGGUUUAAUUCGAAGAUACGCGCAGAACCUUACCAACACUUGACAUGUUCGUCGCGACUCUAAGAGAUUAGAGUUUUCGGUUCGGCCGGACGAAACACAGGUGCUGCAUGGCUGUCGUCAGCUCGUGUCGUGAGAUGUUGGGUUAAGUCCCGCAACGAGCGCAACCCUCACUUUUAGUUGCCAUCAUUAAGUUGGGCACUCUGAAAGAACUGCCAGUGAUAAGCUGGAGGAAGGUGGGGAUGACGUCAAGUCCUCAUGGCCCUUACGUGUUGGGCUACACACGUGCUACAAUGGUAUCUACAACAGGAAGCAAGACUGCGAAGUUAAGCAAAUCCCUAAAAGAUACCUCAGUUCGGAUUGCACUCUGCAACUCGAGUGCAUGAAGCUGGAAUUACUAGUAAUCGUGGAUCAGCGUGCCACGGUGAAUGCGUUCCCGGGUCUUGUACACACCGCCCGUCACACCAUGGGAGUUGGUUCUACCUUAAGGCAAGGUUUUAAACCCUUGACCACGGUAUAGUCAGCGACUGGGGUGAAGUCGUAACAAGGUAGCC
rnacentral:rRNA from 2 species